CUAUAACUUUAAUAAAAACUAUAGCUUUAAUAAAAACUAACUCCAGAUCUUAUUUAAAAAAUCGAACCCUUAAAAUCAACUUCAAAUUCGCCGGAGCUUACCAAAUCCGACGGCGUUUUCUCCUCUGAUCACAAUGACACCACCAACGCCGGCGGCGGCGAUUCAUUCUCCGUCAUCUCCCCAAUACACUCAACAAUUCUUAAGCAAUGUUCUCUCCCAACGAGGUCCUUCUUCUCUCCCUUACUCCGAAGACGUAAAAUGGCUAAUCCGUCAACACCUCGUUUCGUUGAUCGACACGUGUCCUUCUCUUCAACCUAGAACCGCUACUUUCACUUACAACGACGGCAGAACUGUGAAUCUCCUUCAGGCGAACGGCACAGUUCCGAUGGUCUAUCUAGAUGCAACCUACAACAUUCCGGUCAUUAUUUGGUUACUGGAAUCUUACCCUCGUCAAUCGCCGUUGGUAUUCGUGAACCCAACGCGUAAUAUGGUCAUCAAAGACUCACAUCCAUUUGUGAACUCUUCUGGUAUUGUUUCAAUCCCUUAUUUAAAAAAUUGGGUAUAUCCAAGUUCGAAUCUUGUUGAAUUAGCUCGUAAUUUGAGUCAUUUUUUUAGCCGUGAUCCCCCUUUGUACACCAAACGGAACCCGAAUCCGAGCCCAAACCCGCAUCCUCCUCCGGGUACUAGUUUUUCGAAUAGUGGGUCGACUCGUCCUGCGAUACCACCUCGGGUGUAUCCACCAUCACCUUAUGGGAGUGGGAGUGGUGGGGUAGUGGGGAGGAAAAUGGAUGAUCCGUCGGAGGUGGAUAAGAAAAAUGCAAUAGAUGAGCUUAUGCUGAAAUUGCAUAGUGAUAUUGAAGGGUUGGGGAAGGCGAGGGAGUCGGAUAUGGAAGGGUUGUUUAAUGCACAAGGAGUGUUGAGGCGUCGUGAGGAGGAGUUGAGGAAAGGUGUUAAGGAAAUGCUGGAUGAAAAGGAGGGGUUAGAGCAGCAAUUACUGAUGGUUUUGAUGAAUGCUGAUGUGUUGGAAGGGUGGGUUAGAGAUAACGAAACGAAAGUUAAGAAAAUAGGGAAUGUGGAUGUGGACGAGGCGUUUGAGCUUUGUGAUAGACUUUCGAAACAGAUGUUGGAUUGUACAGCCUCGGAUUUAGCUAUGGAGGAUGUGAUUUAUUCGUUGGAUAAAGCUAUACAAGAUGGGGCAAUUCCUUUUGAUCAGUACUUGAGGAAUGUAAGGUUGUUGUCGCGUGAACAAUUCAUUCAUCGUGCCACGGCGUCAAAGGUUAAGGCUGUUCAGAUGCAGGCUCAAGUUUCUCAUAUGGCUUCUAGGCUGUCUCAAUAUACUUUGUCAUAGAUGUUGAAUUACUUGGAUUAUGUGUGCACUAUGGACGGAAGAGGUUAGUUUUUUUUCAAGUGGAAUUUGAUGUGGAGUGGAACAGUUGAGACAUAUGCUUGGGCUCUUCAAAGAUACCAACUGAUGUGUAUCGGAUUCGAAUCCUCCACAAGCUAUGUAUCUUUUCGAGGACCUCCGUGGGUAGCAACAUUUUUGGAAGGUCCGAGCAAAGACUAUUUGGGUGCUAUCGUUUGAUAAUGAUCAUUUUUUCUUCCCUAAGAGAUCUCUCCCUGUUGAGUUUUCAGUUGAACUGAGCAAAAACUUUUGUUUUUUGAUAGGUAACUACAGUUUGAAGUAAUUGCUUUGAAGGCUACUGUCAUUAUUUUGAUUCACUUGUUUCGAAAUUCGAGAGUCGAAAAUUACAAAUUUUUUAAUGUUUGAAGUUGAUAUAGAACAUUUCUGGAGACGAAAAUAUACCUUUCUCGGUCUUUUUGCUAA